GUGAAUCAUCAAAUUUUUGAACGCAAAUUGCGCUUCCUAGCAUCCCGGGAAGUAUGCCUGUUUGAGGGUCAGUAUUAACAAAAAAAAUCGGUUUGGUUGCAAAUUGUGACGUUUCCGGAGUUUGGGCUAUCUUAACUUUUUUGGUUAAGGGGCUUAAAAUUGACUUUUUUUGCGCAUUUUUAGACGUACAUAAAUUUUUUUUUUAUUCGUCUAUUCUUAGUUCCAAAAUCUGAUUAGAU
rnacentral:misc_RNA from 1 species